rfam:Gossypium hirsutum cultivar TM-1 chromosome 22, whole genome shotgun sequence
AACCCAUGGUGAGGGCACAAUCUCAAUAAGUCCUUAUACCUCUCUCAUGCAUCAUGUAGGGUCUCUAAGUCGAUCUGAACGAAAGAAGAGAUAUCAUUCUUUAACUU